CAAGAGAAUGCAGUACAAACGCAAGUCUCAACAGUAGAGAGUCAAAACCAUCCAGCACUCAGUGGCCCCAUCGCGCUGGUCAGUAGAGGACCCGAGGCCAUCAGACGCAGCGGAACCUUUCUGGGUCGUAAGGUGAUAGUCCGGGGGACGUAAAUAGCCAGACGACGCGAGGAGGAAAGUGCGGGAGACUGGAAUGAAGCGACUGGAGAGUUAUGAAGGAUGAUGCCGCCGAAGUCCCGAGCGGCUUCGAGACAAGGAAGAGAAGCUCCGCGACUCACUUGAGCCAGUCAGUCAGUGCUGUGACACAAGGAGCAGCUUUCUCAGCGACGGGGAGCGGUGGACGGCGGAUAAAUACUUCGGCUCCCGCGCCUUCUUCUGCAUCAUGUCCGACCCUCUGACCCUGGUGGUGGGCGACGUGCGUCAGAGGAGUUGAAAAUGUGAGGGAAGACACAGUAUGUUGAGGGAAGGUAGCUGCAGGAGUGAACAGCUGCACCAGUGACAGCAGCAACAGAGCCCCACGACUGCUGCUGCUCCUCUCUUCCCAGCACAGCAGCACACAGGACACCUAUCCAUC